GCCUCUAUAAAAUACAUAAUGGGGGCCGCCGCAGUUAGCACAUGUACGUGUUUGUGCAGAGCAGUUUGAUUGGUUAUGAUCGGGUUUGGCACAUAGGGGGUAUCAGUCUGUGGGACAAUACUAUACACAUUAUACAGUAUAUAUAAAUAUAUAUGUUCAUAUACACACACACAUAUAUAUAUAUAUACAUGCACAAACACACCCACACAAACAGAUCAUAUAAUAGGGCUAUUGGAAAAGCUCACUGAUAAUCCUCUUUUUGCCUGUCAUCACUUUAUCCUUGGUCAGCCACCUUUCAAUUUCAGUACAAAAAAAUUCACAGUGUGUUAUUAAGACAAGUGAAUCAGUAGUGAAUCUUUAAACACAAAGCCUUGUGUAAUCAGCACAAACUAUCACAAAUCAUAAAAUCAAACACAUCAAUGAAUAGCUCAAUUUAGAAUAUUUACACAAGAAUGGUACAUCUGUGACUUAUUGUUGUGCAGAAGCACUUUCCUAUCAAAAUCAUAAUAUAUAAAAAUCUUAUAACAAAAAUAUAAUCUGAAUUGGUGGUGUAUGUAAGAAAUAAAUAUAUAGUAAAAACUCUAUUAUUUAAAAACCAUAGUUAAAAUACAUUUGUGAACAUAUACAUUAUACACAAUUUCAAAUAAAUAUAAACAUGUAUUUACAUCUUGUAUUCAAAUUAUGAACAUUUAUUUUUUCUUUUACUUAACACAUUGGACCCAGAAGACGCUGCUGUCACGUCAUGGAAAAACUCGAGCAAAUUGGCCCCGAACUUGCUGUCACGAGCGAAGGCCAGGAUGACAGAAAAGACUCGCCACAAGGACACAAACCUCUUGGGGUGUGAUUUGACUCAUUUGGUGCUUAGAAGGCUUUAGCAUUAUUCCCAUUGAUAAACAAAUAUGAAAUGCAACUUGUGUAAGUAGUGACUGGAAGAGCACCAGUUCCAGGGAGGAUGCCAUUUCAAUGCUGCACUUUAACCAGCGCAAGUUAUAUUACAUAAAAUUGAAAAUUACGAAAAAAUGAGACAUAUGACACAAAUAACCAAAUGUUCCAUAGUUAUUUAUUACAUAGAGAGAUAAUAUGGAGUCUGUGUUAGGAACAUUAGCUAUUACCAUCUGGAUAAAGCAAAUCAAAAGACAAAUAUGGACAUUGGAAAAUAGUAAUAAAGCUAAAAAAGUUCACACAAAAUAACUUUGCAAAGGGGAGGCACAGUCUUGUCACUGCUGAUGGGUGUUCAUGCAUGUCCAGCCUACGCACCAUAUGCCCGGGAUGUUGCCCAAUUACGUAACCCAUUGCCCAUGUUUUCAGCACCAUGAUUUCCGUGACGUAACGGGAUCCAAUGGGUUAAUAGAUAAUAAAUUAAUAACCUUCAAAUACUGAAGACUUAGGGUGACAAUGAAUUGUAACAGUAAUUUUUCUAACAAAAGCAGAAAGAAUUAUAACGGCUUUUGUAUAAUUUGUAUUCAUAUAAUAAUUAAAUUUUUUCUCAAUAAUGCUAUUACCAUUUGUAUACAUAUUAACUUUGUAAUUUUAAAAACCGCUUGUAAGAAAAAGUUUUUAAAUACAAAAAAUAAUCAGUUGGUGAGAAAAAUCUUAAAUCAGAUCAACAUCACAAUGAUCCAAUGAGCUGCUUUUUUAGAAGGGACAUAUUGAUUCUGAAAAAGUUAGCAUAGAGGUAUAUGGUCAGUUUUCACGUAUCUAUCACAA